CCUACGGGAGGCUGCAGUGGGGAAUAUUGGACAAUGGGGGGAACCCUGAUCCAGCCAUGCCGCGUGUGUGAAGAAGGCCCUCGGGUUGUAAAGCACUUUCAGUGAGGAAGAACGCCUGGUGGUUAAUACCCAUCAGGAAAGACAUCACUCACAGAAGAAGCACCGGCUAACUCCGUGCCAGCAGCCGCGGUAAUACGGAGGGUGCGAGCGUUAAUCGGAAUUACUGGGCGUAAAGCGCGCGUAGGUGGCUUGAUAAGCCGGUUGUGAAAGCCCCGGGCUCAACCUGGGAACGGCAUCCGGAACUGUCAAGCUAGAGUGCAGGAGAGGAAGGUAGAAUUCCCGGUGUAGCGGUGAAAUGCGUAGAGAUCGGGAGGAAUACCAGUGGCGAAGGCGGCCUUCUGGACUGACACUGACACUGAGGUGCGAAAGCGUGGGUAGCAAACAGGAUUAGAUACCCCUUAGUC
rnacentral:rRNA from 1 species